AUCUUUGCACAGUGGCAGUAUUGUAGCCAAUGAGGUUUAUCCGAGGCAUAAUUAUUGCUAAAUGAAAAAUCAGAAGUUCAACCCCAGCUUGCAGAAUUUAGUAACUUGGUGAGACCUUGUCCCAAAAUAAAACAUUUUUAAAAGG
rnacentral:snRNA from 1 species